UUACCCGGAAAUGGGCAAAGGCACCUUAUUGGUGGUAUUGCUCUUACGUCAGUCAGGGACAGAGCAGAUGGCAGUCCUUUGUUCAUCCUAGGUUGGUGCCUGCCUUUGUGGCCCAAGCUGUUUUAUGCCUAGGACACAUAC